AAUUCCUGAACUUGUUGAGGGACAGAAACUGCUCUGGAGAAGUCAACAAGAGAGGAGAGGAAGCAGACUAAUUGGGUAGACAGGAAACCAAGCCAAGGAAAGUGAGGUGGAUUUUCAUCUGCCAGGCUGCAGAACUAUGGGCAGAGGCAGAGCUCAGCAGCUGUAGCCCUUACUCCUCCUCUCCCUCCUGCCUUCCUUUCUGUAGAAGUGGGCCUGGAUAUACCAGCGCGUGCGGUGCGGCAGACAAGAAGAUAAUUUUGGGCUGCAUAUUUGGAAGCACCACAUCACAAGCAAAUGAAAAUGCAUCAUCACAACACCGAAUUAAGAGUGAAGGAAAACACUGUCGGUAAGAUGCUGGAUAGACUGAAGAUAUUCAAGGUUGACGGACCAGAGCCUCUUGCAUCCAUACCUGUGACAGAUGAAAAAGGAGCUGCAUUCAGUCAAAAGGCUCAAGCAAGAGCAACAUCGGCUUCUCUUCUGGUCUUACAUCCUGUGCACACACCUGGCAGAGUUCUGCAAACUUGACAAGCAGUAGAGAAACCUGAGAAUGUUGUGAGAGACAAAGCAUGCAAUUUGGAACUGUACACUGGAUUCCUCUUGUUUGGCUACCUCCUCUGAAACCAGGUAAGCUUUCAGCAUUUAUUUCUUGCCACUACAUCCCAG
rnacentral:lncRNA from 1 species